UGGGGGAUAUUGCACAAUGGGCGCAAGCCUGAUGCAGCGACGCCGCGUGGGUGAAGAAGUACCUCGGUACGUAAAGCCCUAUCAGCAGGGAAGAAAAUGACGGUACCUGACUAAGAAGCUCCGGCUAAAUACGUGCCAGCAGCCGCGGUAAUACGUAUGGAGCAAGCGUUAUCCGGAUUUACUGGGUGUAAAGGGAGCGUAGGCGGCAUACCAAGCCUGAUGUGAAAACCCGGGGCCCAACCCCGGGAGUGCAUUGGGAACUGGCAAGCUAGAGUGUCGGAGAGGCAGGCGGAAUUCCUAGUGUAGCGGUGAAAUGCGUAGAUAUUAGGAGGAACACCAGUGGCGAAGGCGGCCUGCUGGACGAUGACUGACGCUGAGGCUCGAAAGCGUGGGGAGCAAACAGG
rnacentral:rRNA from 1 species